rnacentral:lncRNA from 1 species
UAUAAAAGUCCACAUGCACUUUGUUGUAUAUACCAAUAAAAAGCAUUCACUACAUUCACCAUAAAUUACAAAAGAUUUUACUUCUCAUCAUUUUUCUGAGCUUCUUCUUCUCAUACUAUAAACAACCUUGCAAGCACUCUAGAGUGACAACGUAAAAGUUAGUAUUGAAUGGCUUUUUCUUCUCCAUUCCAUCACUCAGUACUUCAGUGCAUCUAAUAUUUAUACUGAAAUAUGUCACAUCUGCUGGGCAAGAAGAGGUAUUUUUGACAUGUUUCAACAGGCCUGCUCAAGUAAUUUUUUAUGAAUAUGGGGGAAAAUUAAUUAAGCAAAACUUUCAAUUUAUUUUUUGCAUUCCUAGCUCAGGAACUUGUAUAAAGGAUUAAGCAUAUUAAGAAGAUAUGGGUUCUGUAUCACUGAAUGCAGGCAUAUAUGUAAACAACAGCUGAGGAAAUGUUUUUCCUUAUGGUCUCUCUUUUGCAAACUCUAAUCCCAGGAGAAAUGUUGAGCAACAGCAACAGUGACUGUGUGGGUGAGUAAAAGAAUGCAUUUGCUGAACGCCCAUAGCACUGACCAGCUAGAUAUUUUCAGUCAGCACAAUUCACAGUCUCUCAUCCCUGUCACACUUCCAGUCUGGUCUGGUGACAGCAAUAGAGAGGAGCUAAGAACAUUGACAAAUUCUUGUCAUCAGUGUCCUUCAGAGGCACACAGAAAAGAUUCACAUAGCCCAAGGAUGAAAAAAGCAAACAUGUGGGAAGGAAAUCAUAUGGACUCAAGUGCUUAAUAUGAAGGAGAGAUCAAAGGCCAAAAAAAUAACACCAUCUAUACUGAGGGGGAAAGAACAAAGAAGGAGACAGAAAAGCUUUCUUUACUAGGUGUGGAUAGCUUGCAAACUGUGAUGGUGGAUAGAGAUGAUAACAACCCUUCUCUCUAAAUGGUUGUGCAAAGUGCAGCGUCAAGUCCCACACCUGGAUUUAUAAUCUCCAAUGUGCUUAGGAUGAAGCAAAUGAAGAAGCUCUGUGGAAAAGGCAGGACCAGACCAUACACACUCCAAUUAAUCCCAAAGUUAUACGUGGGUAAGAAUUUACACUGGGUCUUCUUACACUGGUUCCUCUUGGGCAUAUAGCCCAAAAGACUUUUACUUGUCUGGUCUCCAAACAGAAACCGUGAAAAGUCUCCUUCCC